rnacentral:rRNA from 1 species
UACGUAGGGGGCAAGCGUUGUCCGGAAUCAUUGGGCGUAAAGAGCGUGUAGGCGGCCCGGUAAGUCCGCUGUGAAAGUCCAGGGCUCAACCCUGGGAUGCCGGUGGAUACUGUCGGGCUCGAGUCCGGAAGAGGAGUGUGGAAUUCCUGGUGUAGCGGUGAAAUGCGCAGAUAUCAGGAGGAACACCAAUGGCGAAGGCGACUUUCUGGUCUGUAACUGACACUGAGGCGCGAAAGCGUGGGGAGCGAACAGG